rnacentral:rRNA from 1 species
GACGAACGCUGGCGGCGUGCUUAACACAUGCAAGUCGAACGGAAAGGCCCUGCUUUUGUGGGGUGCUCGAGUGGCGAACGGGUGAGUAACACGUGAGUAACCUGCCCUUGACUUUGGGAUAACUUCAGGAAACUGGGGCUAAUACCGGAUAGGAGCUCCUGCUCCAUGGUGGGGGUUGGAAAGUUUCGGCGGUUGGGGAUGGACUCGCGGCUUAUCAGCUUGUUGGUGGGGUAGUGGCUUACCAAGGCUUUGCCGGGUAGCCGGCCUGAGGGGGUGACCGGCCACAUUGGGACUGAGAUACGGCCCAGACUCCUACGGGAGGCAGCAGUGGGGAAUAGUGCACAAUGGGCGGAAGCCUGAUGCAGCAACGCCGCGUGCGGGAUGACGGCCUUCGGGUUGUAAACCGCUUUCGCCUGUGACGAAGCGUGAGUGACGGUAAUGGGUAAAGAAGCACCGGCUAACUACGUG